rnacentral:rRNA from 1 species
UACGUAGGUGACCAGCGUUGUCCGGAUUUACUGGGCGUAAAGAGCGCGCAGGCGGUCGUUCAAGUCGAGUGUGAAAGCCCCCGGCUCAACUGGGGAGGGUCACUCGAUACUGAUCGACUUGAAGGCAGGAGAGGGAUGCGGAAUUCCAGGUGUAGCGGUGAAAUGCGUAGAUAUCUGGAGGAACACCGGUGGCGAAGGCGGCAUCCUGGACCAAUAUUGACGCUGAGGAGCGAAAGCUAGGGGAGCAAACGGG